UGCUGUGGUAGCCAUGCUGGUUAAGUGUACCUUGAAUUCUAAAUAAAUCACUGUCAGUGUCACCAACAAAGCACCAUCACACCUCCUCCUCCAUACUUUACAUUUGUGUAUUUUUUAUUUAUUUAACCUUUAUUUAACUAGGCAAGUAAGUUAAGAACAAUCUUACUUUCAAUAACGGCCUAGGAACAGUGGGUAAACUGCCUCGUUCAGAUUUAAAUAUUCAUGUUGACAAAGAGACUGACUGAAUUUAUUAAACUUUUUGACAGAAGUUUUGCCUGGAGGGAGGUCAUAAACUUCAGGCUGUGCAUGAUUGCAGUUAUAGCCAUGGGAGUAAUGUCAUUUUGCUUGUUAAUCGGCUGUGAGAGGUGUGGAUGGGUGGGGCAGGUACAGUAGCUGCAGAAAGAGUAUAAAACAGGGCUGCAGAGGGCAGAGAGAUGCCACAUUACUACUGACGUCCUGAAGACAUCAUCCAGAAAAACAGCCAUCAAUCAGACAGCAUUGUCCAACUUUAAGAGGAUGAAGAUCCAGAGUAUGUUACUGCUGUUCGCUCUAGUGGGUGUCCUGUUAGCAAGCUCCCUCAAUAAAGAUAACUCUGAGGAAGCUCUCCUGCAGGAGGAUGAUGUAAAAAAUGGAAAGGCUGCCUUUUUGGCAAAGUUGGCUACUCUGAAGACCAGCCCCUCUGAAGAUGAAGCAGCAUUUUGGGGCGAGCUUUGGAACGUAGCCAAGGACCUUGUUGGGUGAGAAGCGACCAGCAUGAGGAUGCCAAGGAUCCCUUUCAGUCUCCAUAUGGAAUCAGCUAUCACCUCUGAAGUCAUCACUAACAUUACCUCAGUGAAUCAUUCCAACAUCCAUCCAUCAAUGAUUGUCAAAAAAACAACAGUAAUACAGUUAAUUGGUACUUUGGUACUGAGAAGAACUCAUCAACAUUCUGAAGAAUAUAUGUUUUAUCCAUGAACAUGUACUUUAUGUCCUGACACAUGAUAGUUGAUUGGUCAAGUUAGUGGAUAAAUAAUUGUA